GACGAACGCUGGCGGCGUGCCUAAUACAUGCAAGUAGAACGCAGUUGCGAACGGGUGAGUAACGCGUAGGUAACUGCCUCAUAGCGGGGGAUAACUAUUGGUAACGCUUGCUAAUACCGCAUACUGUGAGAUGGACCUGCGUUGUAUUAGCCAGUUGGUGAGGUAAAGGCUCACCAAGGCGACGAUACAUAGCCGACCUGAGAGGGUGAACGGCCAACCUGGGAAUGAGGAAAGGCCCAGAAUCCUUCGGGGAGCAACAGGAGGGAAUCUUCGGCAAUGGGCGGAAGGCCGGCCGGACAAAGCCGCGUGAGGGAAGAAGGUUUUCGGGUCGUAAAACUCUGGUGUUAGAGAAGCGGUAACUAACCAGAAAGGGACGGCUAACUACGUGCCAGCAGCCGCGGUAAUAC
rnacentral:rRNA from 1 species